GGGGCCACGCCCAUAACCGCUCUUUUCCCUCAGCAAGCGCGGCCUCCAGUUUCUCUUGAGGGGAAGACUUGGCUAUGGAUAAACGGUACGCCAUGAAAUUACAUCCCUGCUGCCCCUUCGCUAGUUAGUUUAGGGUUGCUGGGAAUUGUAGCCCAGAUUUUUCGGAUGGGGAGGGAAAUGUCCCUCCCAUAUGUUUUAAAAUUUCAAAUUCCGCAAAUAACAGAUGUAUGGUGUGUAUACGAGCCUCUGGUGUGUUGCCACUGUGGGAGAUUUUGCCUUUUCCUCACCUGUUUUAAGGUCCUUGUUUUUCACGGCUGGACUUUAAAAAUAUAUAUUCGGGGUGGGGAUGGAAAUUGACCAACAAUUAAAGGGAAAUUUAAGAGGAAAAUCCUCUGAAAAACUAAAAAUAUUUUUGCUGAUACAUUUAUGCCAGUUCUUGCGUAAGCAAGGAAGAUCUGCACCUCUGACUUGAAUAAGGAACUGGAAACAGCAAAUAAGGAACUCGAACAACAAUUUCCCUAAAAUUUGACAAGUCUUUCAAGACAGAAGUCUGGGAUUCAUGUGUUAAACAUAUGAUAAAUGUAUACCAUGAAAUAUAAUAUUUUAAGCCAGAAGGUUGUCAGUUGCACCCUGAAUUUCCUUUCUUUCUCAUCUGUUCUUCAGAACAGAGUACCUAGUAGCUAGGUUGCUGAAAUGUGAAAUUAAGAUUUUCUGUAUUGUUUUUAUAUCAUCAUAGCUCCACAGAACUGCCUGACCAUCCAUUCUCAAUUAGCUGCCCACAGGAGAGUUACACUGGAUUUAUUGUGCUUUUUAUACACUCACAUAAACUACAUGUAAGGUUGAGUAGCAGGAAAUUUGAUCUUGCAAGUACCAAGUGGAUGAUGAGUUAUUUCUGUUUGGUUUAGUACCUGGAGUGAAGCCAUAAUGCAACUUCAUGCUAAGCAUGCCAUCAUCUUCCCCAGUCUCUCUGAUUAUUCUUAAGAACCAGGAGAACUGGGGCAGCUUAAACCUUCUCAUUGAGAAUUAUAGAAUUGUAGAGUUAAAAGGGACCAUAAGGGUCAUCUAGUCCAACCCCCUGCAAUGAAGGAAUCUUUUACCUAACAUGGGGCUGAAACCCACGACCCUGAGUUUUAAGAGUUUCAUGCUCUACCACCUGAACUGUUUUCAUAUUUAUCUGGGUCCUCGUAACCACAAUCAACAUCUGCAAUAAAAUUUAAUCAUUUUAAAUAAUGAAACUAAUACAGUGGUACCUUGGUUCUCAAACUUAAUCCAUUCUGGAAGUCUGUUUCAAAACCAAAGCGUUCCAAAACCAAGGUGCACUUUUCCAUAGAAAGCAUGUAAUGUAAAACAAAAAAGUUUGAAAACCUACUUCCGGUUUUUCAGCGUUUGGGUUCCAAGUUCGUGAACUAAGCUAUUCAAAAACCAAGGUACCACUGUAAUUACUUUGAUUUCUAGCUCAUUUAAAUGUUCAACUAAUUGUGUAAAUGAUGUUCACUGAUUUUACUAGAAUUGAACCUAUUUGUACCUAAGACAGGUAAAUUUCAGGUUUGGAAUGGAGAAAGCUUGAGAAAAGUUCCAAUGAUUUUCUGAAAUUUGUAAUAAACUGUAUUUUGUAGUAAUUACUUGCUGUAUUGUUCUGAAAAGGAGAAAUAGAUAAAAUAAGUGAAAUAAGAUUUGCCUUCCAUUCUACAGAUGCAGAUGAUUAAAAAUACAUUACCACAACAUGUAGUUUCAGAGUUGAAUCCUAAUAUGCUAGGUCACUAGGAAAGAACAGGGCUAAUGCCACAUAUUUUUUCUGAAAUACCAUAUGAGGUUUUCCAUUAUCUCAUCUACUAUUUUAAAAUACACCUUGUAAUACUUGCCUUUGCUUUUCCCUGAAGUUACUAUGCAAUUCAAGAGUGUCAGGAUGGUGAAGUUUUUACUUCACAGCUCUUGUUAAAUACCUUUUACCAAGACUUUUAAAAUAGGGUUUACACAAUAGGGUUCGUGUGUGUGUGUGUGUGUGUGUGUGUGUGUGUGUUUUCUCCCUUCCAUCUCAAGACAAAUUGUAUAUCAAUAAAGUAGAAUGGCUCAAAACCCCAGAAUACUUGCUUGAAAUUUAUUCUUUGAGCUAGAAAUAAAGUACCCAAUUCCUUUUUUCUUAUACAUUUUUGUACAGUAACACGUAAUACUGUAGUUUUACAUUUGGAUAGAAGCCCUAUAUAACAGAAGAGCAAGUGCCUCUUUAUUUUAACUUAAUACAGUAAUGCCUAGAUUAACUUGUUAAAAUUUUUUUGUUGAUGCAGCAGUGCUUAACUGAGUGUUAGGAACAGUGAACUGUCAAUGUUGUUUACACUGACCAGUUUUAAAGUCACUUUCUGUGUUUUGAACAGUACUCUACACUGAAGAGCAGAUGGCGCUGUUGCAUAUCUAUUGUCCAACAUCCAAUUUGAAGAGGUAGAACACCAUAGUUUUUAUAUAUAUAUAUAUAUAUAUAUAUAUAUAUAUAUAUUUAUAUUUAUAUAUUAUAAUGAACUAGGUGGCGUAACUAGAUGUAAUUAGGGUUGUGUGUGUUCAUCAGGAGCAGGGGUCAGCAACCUUUUUCAGCCGUGGGCUGGUCCACCGUCCCUCAGACCAUGUGGUGGGCCAGACUAUAUUUUGGAAAAAAAAUAUGAACAAAUUCCUAUGUCCCACAAAUAACCCAGAGAUGCAUUUUAAAUAAAAGCACACAUUCUACUUAUGUAAAAACACCAGGCAGGCCCCACAAAAAACCCAGAGAUGUAUUUUAAAUAAAAGGACACAUUCUACUCAUGUAAAAAUAUGCUGAUUCCUGGACUGUCUGCGGGCCGGAUUGAGAAGGCGAUUGGGCUGCAUUUGGCCUACAGACCUUAAGCUGCCUACCCCUGAUCAAGAGUCAUAGAGGCUCCUGAAUUUGGUUGAGAUUAUAAUGCUAGGAAAUUCUCCCACAAUUGCUACUUGCCCUAUGGAGGGAAACAUACAGAUGUUGUAUGGAUGCCUGUCCAUGGAAGACUCUGGUUAGAUCAGGAACAGCUUCAAACCCUGACUGUCCUUUAAAAGCAGGCCAGUUAUACACAGUAUGAAAAGUGAGUGAUAAGAUUUCCAAAGAGGAAUAUGUCUGGCCUCUUGGUGGCAUAUAAUGUAACAUUGAUAAACGUCUACCUGGAUUUCUCCAACUACUGUACACUGCUUCUGAUUUUUCCACAGUUCCAAAGUUCUCAAAGAAGUACUGUACAUUUGAAAACUUACUCAUAAAUAAGAAUAUUUUAAACAAUGCCCAUUCCAUACAAACUCAUGACAGAGACAGUUGAAAAACAGGAAAUUGGAGUUCAGUUUUCUGUGUUAUGCAUAUACAUAGUUACACUUUUAAAAUAGGGUGUCAAAACUGUGCUCCAGUUCAGGCCUUUCCUGAGAACAAACCCCAUGGAUUUGAUUGAAUACUGUACUGUGAAUAAACUUGCAUAGGACGGCACUGCAAGUGUGUGCUUCCAGCUACACUUGUGUUGUGGUAUGAAAAUAAUCCAAGCUUGGCAUGCCUGAAAGGACAACCACUGUCAAACUUUAUACUAACACUUCUCCCCAGUACAAAAAAAAGUAUCCAAGACAUUUCCAUUUUGUUUACAGCAUUUACAUAAAUGAUAUUCAGUUGGAAUCUCUUGGGGAGCAAAGUGUACUUCAGUAUAAACCUUUAAAGGCCAAAAUGUAAAACAGAAGGUGGAGACGGGCAGCCUUGUUAGGAAUUGUUUCGCUCUCUGCAGGCCACCGCUGAACCAUUUCAAGGUUGUGUGCUUUUUAAAGUAUGCAGAUGUCUGCAUGUCACACAACAGAUAUUGUAAAGACCUUUAUUUAGCUACCUUUCCUACCACAGUCAGCAGCAACUGCAACAGAGCUUUAAGGAAAAACAAUAUUUUAAAAGUGUUCUUCAGAAUGGUCUCCUGUAGCUACAAUAAUUACCCAGUCCAGGUGUGAUUUUCAACAGUGGUCUUCAACCUUGAUUAAUCCCAACCAUGGGACAUAGGACUCAGUUUAUUUUCUGCUUAUGUCCAUUUUUCUCCUAUUAUGUCUGACGUAAGGGACAACUGCAUAUUCCUGCAUUUACAGAUGUUUCUCAGGGUCCCUUCUAACUCAAUGAUUCUAUGAUAUCCAGAUGCAAAGGAGGACAACAGAGUGCCUUCACCUUUUACAUUGUGUAGGGGCAGCUUCCCAUACAGAGGGAGAAAAGAUGAACCUUCCAAUAUCCAAUUUGCCACAAAUCUGAAAUACAUAUGCUACUUUGCAAUGCUAUACUUCCAUGUUGUUGUUUUAAGCUGUACAACAAAAAGAAAGUGGUGGUGAUGCUAGCCAAGGUCUUAGAGUUACCCACUUGUGGAUCCUGACCUACUAUGAGUCUAAGAAAGAACUUAGUUAUGUUUAAUAGAGGAGUGGAUGUGAAGAGAUGGACACAAUUUUUCAUAUGUAGUGGGAAUGUGACGUGAUAGUAUGGUUCUGGUGAAAGUUUUUAAGGAAUGUGAGACAUUAAUUGGACAAACUAUAGCAAGAUGCACAUUUAGAUCUGCUGUCUAUUUUUGAUGGAAAUAGAUUGUACAAAGAACAAUUAACAUUUAAGCAUGUCUUCAGAUAGCAAGAAACUGAAAAAGCAGGGCUGGCAUAUCUACUGAAUGGUGGCAUCAACAAAUCUGGAAUAUAGCCUUAUCGGGAAAACUAAUCAAAUAUGGGCAACAAAAACUCAAACAGAGCCAAGCACCUUUUUUGCAACAUUGUAGGAUUUUAUUUGACUUUAUAAAUAAACAAAAGUGAUGGUUAGAUUCAUUCCCCAUCCAUACAUGGAAAUCUCUGGAGGAAUACUUUAGGAUAAUUCUUGUUUUAUUUUGCUUUGAACUUAUGUUCUCCAACACAGCAGUGUAACAAUGUGCUUCUACAUUUACUGUGUCUGUUAUAGAAAUAGAGAGAGAGGGGUUUUUUUAACAAACAAACAAACAAACAAAAAACUGUUGGAUCUACCCCUCACCCAUCAUUUCCAGUUUUCUAGUUAGUUUUAGUGAAGCAAAACACUUAUAUAAACUGCAUUCUAAUAUUAUUUACCCACAUAAUGGUAUAAAAAUGAAUAAUUAACAAGAGGAGAAGCCGUCUCUGCUGGGGCACUUGCUAUGGCUAUAUGAGGUCCCAGCUGUGAGAGCCAUACUGGGAAAGAAAUUUACCAGAAGCCAUGAAAAGCUAGAUUGGAGAUUCAUUGAGCGGAUUAGACUGUAAAUUUGAUUUGGUCCAACAUAAAUCCUUAUAUAACAUCCCUGCAUAGAAUAUAUUAAAAUGACAAUUUCAUUUUUAGUGGCCCCAAUCCAAAAAAGUCAUGUGCAAGAAAGUGUGAUGUGCAAAUAACUAAAGUCUGGCACAGCAGAUGGAAAGGCUCAUUCCUAUUUACAAUACAAAAGAGAAUGGACAGUAAAGCACAUGCGACAUACAUGCAGAUUUGAUGGUUCCUGGCUGUGCUUGUGCCAUGGGAGCCGAUGAAACAUCUAUGACUGUGGCACUACAAUCCUAUUUUGAGGACUGGGCUGCCAGCUUGUUAUUAAAUGGGAUACUCUGUGUACAUGUACUUUUGGAAAUGUGUUAAUUGUCCUUGCUUGGAUCUUUGUGGUGCUAAAUUAACCUGGGACCUUUAGAGAAGCUCUGGGACAACAGGUGCAAGUUCCUUAAAUGAAAUGGCCCCAAGGACAAGGUCCAAACAUAGUACUUAUUUCACACCAAUCCACAAACUAAAGAUAAUAAUUAAACUAUCUUGUUUAAUCAGCAUUUUAUUUAUUUAAAUAAUUUAUAUCCCUCCUCUCAUAAAAAGCUCAAGGCAACAUUAAACAGCGGACUGCAGAAUCAAAGAGAUCCUGGUGAACUGCUGCCAUCCCUGUUUCUGCAUACUUGCUGUAGGAGUGGAAUACCAAGUGCCAGUAUUGCAUAGGGUGUCGAACUUCAGAAUGAGUAAAUCUAGGCUGAAAUCUCCACUUGGUAAGUUACUGGGUCUAGGACACCCAAGCUUGUUGAGUGUCCUAGACCCAGUAACUCUCAGCUUAACCUGCUUCACAGAGUUGUGUCAAUUAGGGGUGUGUCAUUUAUGUCAUCCUGAGCUCUUUGAAGAAACAGAAAGGUAAACGUGUAAUAAGUAAUGAUAGUACAUCAUAGUGUUGCACAGUUGGUUGAGUUGUGAGCCUGAAUCUUGACUAAUUUCAGGAUGAAUACUGGCUGUUGUCUAAGAAGGAAUCACUUCCACUCCUCUGCUUAAAAACAAAUCCGGACUAUUUUCAAUGGCUUAAACAGCUGGCACUUUCAGACCUCUGCUUUUAACUUUUUGGACCCUGUUUUCUUCUUUUGGACACUGCUCUCUGUAUAAAUGCUGAUGGAGUCACUGGCCACAAAAACAUUGUUGUUUAAGAACUUCAGCCCUGAAGAAGCAGAGACAUACUGGCUCCAGGCUGAGGGACAGAGAUCUGACAGAGAGGUGCAUAGUUAGCAUUUAAUAUAUGUAAGACAUUAACAUGCUCAAUUUGCUUAACAACAGAGCUGGCACAGGAACAUUUUGCAUAUAGGCAAGUUACACCUUAAUAGAGAUUGCUUUGCUGAGCUGAAACAGUUUUGUAAAAUGAUAUGAGUGAAUAAUUCAACAGAGCUGCAAAACUGAACUGUGGAAUGCUAUUGAACUCCCAAGGUUAUACAAAUGAUAAUAUUUAAGCACAUUGUUACUGAAAUUCCCCUCUCCACUCCUCAUUUAAAAUAGGACAUUCUCUGAUUGCUUCCAGAUGAACUGUUUAUUAAGCAGUUAUCUUGAUUUGUUUACACAAAGGGUUUUCGUUUUUUGGUGGGGGGAGUAGAUGAUGGCAACUAUUUACUGAGUAUUCACUGUUAUUUGUUUACAGAGAGUUGAUAUAUCAUUGCAUCAAGCAGUUCUUAUGACACACUUUCUGGGCAUUCCCCCCUCACUUUUCUUAUUGCAAAGAGCCUAGGGUUGCAGAAAAGUGGGUUUGUUGUGCAAGAGUUACAAAUCAAAUUUAAUGACACCACCUGAAUUUGCUGGUGACUUAAUGCCACUCAAAAAUAGCAACAGCCUGGACACGCCCUUUACACCAGCUGCUUUAUUUACUUGUGUAAACAACUAGCUAGUUUAGUUGGUUGCAUCUCAUCCCGAAUCUUGUCCCUGAUUAGGAAAUUAGUUCUGGAUUUCUUCAAGUGAAAGUUAAUAGUCCUUCGAAAUAAGUGUUGGGUCAGUCCAUCAACCUCUGGUGGAUGAUUUAGAAGGAUUGGUUCUAGCAUCACUUUCGCUGUGUGUGUGUGCCAGUUAUCCAUACUCAGCAGUUACAUCUCAAUGCAGCUCCUUCCUUGGAAUUGUCUUCGGGGUUGAAGGUACACACAGUAGGCAAUAAAUACUCAUGGACGCCAUAAAGAUUCAGUCAAGUGUAGAGGUUUACUUGACAGGCAUAAAAGCAUAUCAGUAGCAAAUAUAUAUACAGACAUUCACCACUGCCAUGGUCAAGGCAUGCUUAGAGUUCAACAAGGGUCCAAGCCUCUCUCUCUGCUCUCACCACAAGAUGCAAGCCAGAGACUCACAACAAAUUACACAAGUUACACAGAACCAUUGCUAUCAGUACUUCCUGUCACAUUGCACAUGUCCAUAGAACAGUUCCCACAGAAAAUGUCCUUGCAUAGACAAAACAGUCUCAGCCUUCUGCUGCUUCUUGAAACUUCUCUGUUCUUCUCUGUUUCUGGAACAAAUGAUUCUCACACACAGAGAAUAUCUAACAAGAAGAACUGACAUCAACCACAGCACUCUUCAUCUUUGUUCACCCAAACAUAAUGGAUGUCCUUGGGCUUAAUUGUUUCCCCACUAUUCCUCCCCUGCUGAAGGACAUACCUAUUUACAAUUUAAGGUACAUCUACCUAUGCCAAAAUCCAAUACACCUUUUGUUUCUUUGUGGUUGUUGUGUUCAGUUAUCCGCUUCUUUGCUAAUUCAUGGAGAUGCUCCAAGGUCACAUUCUAUUUAUUUGUUUGGUGCACCCACAGGUUGGUAGGUAGGGAUGGGGAAUAAAUUCAAUUUAGUUCACAUUCAAAGACAAAUCUGGUAAUUUGCACUUUCCAAAACAAAAUGAGACCCAAAAUGCAUCCAUCCUUCAAAAUUGGCACUUCUCUGAGUUUUGCAAUGCAGUUUUUCAGCCAAGUAAUAUGUACAAAAAUGCACAGACUAGGAUAAAAUGUACAUAAAAAAUCAAAUGUUAAUGAAUAUAAUAUACAAAAGUGCAGUAUGUUUAGGGAAAUUGCUUUCUAAAGAUGCCUAUCAGGAGAAAUUUGCACUAAAAUGCUUAUGAAUUUUAAUGAGGACUUUUCUUUUUUAAUGCAGACAUGUGGAAAUGUGGAGAACUGAACUUAAAACUGGAAAAUUGAGAAACUGAAAUUGACAGAUUCAUCCAUCACUGUUGGUAGAGCACACAAGCAGCUGUUCUUAUGUUUUCUUUUCAUCCAUUAAGUCAAAAAACAACAAAAAAACACUUAAAUUUUGGGGUGAAAAAGUGCACAGCAAACACUCAAAAGGGAACUUCGGUGCUUCAGUGGAAAAUGAGGGCAAGCUAGAACUGGAACAAGAGACACCCAGUCAGAUGUAUCCUUAUUUGGUCCUCUCAUCUUUUAUGCUGUCAUUCCAAACAACAGGGCUGACAACUAACAAAAGGAUAUUUACUUGGUUAGUCUGCUGCCUUAUUUGAAUUUAAAUGAAGUUGCAUAUUACGAUAACUUCCAUAAAGGUGCCUUCUUGAGAUACUGUGAUCUUUAGCCAUGUGAUGCCGUAGCACUACUGAAGAUGAGCAGAUCUGGAUUUGGCCAGAGCCUGGAUGCGAGGCCUCCUGGGAACCCUGCAUACUCUGCUGCAAGCUUCAUGGAGAAAUGUCACAACUGAAGCUUGUUGGGGGGGUACUGCACUAAACACUGGUAUUUGUCAGGAAACUACAGAAUUGAUCUGGAUUAUGGCUAAUGUGGUGUGAAUGUGUCUUUAAAAAAUUAGCAGUGGGAGUGCACUGGAUGCAGAAUAAGCAGUAAUGUGAACAUAUCCUGAGCUACAAUGGUGCAGGGCAGGGGGAUGUAAUUGCCUUGAAGUUUUCUGAAUAUUUAGCUUUACAACUAUUAGUUACUGCGUUCCUUUCUAAACCUUGUGAAAAAAGAGAGUGCGAAGCUCACAAGGCAGUUUGCCCAAAGCAGAGUAAACUCUCUUGCCCAUGAAGCCUUUUUAAGUAUUACAGCUGUCCCUGGAACUCCUUGUCAAAGUUUGUUGUUCUGCAGCUAGCGUGCCUAUUUUUAUAUUCCCCUCCUGGGCUUAUGUCCUAAAAUCUCUGCAACAUGCUGAAGUCUAUGGGGAUUAUUAGUGGCAUAUGUAUUUUCAGGGUAAGAACUCCCAUGGACAUGGAAUAGGAGAACUCUGAUAAACUUUCAGAUAAGUCAUUCUGAUUUUUCAAACUAAAUACCCCCCUCCAGUUUCCUUUCUAUUACCUUGUUUAAAAUAAAUUGUAGGAAUUGGUUUAUCAUGUCAUUUUAUGGCCUAACAUUAGGGUUAUGCUGCCCCAACCAAAUUUUGCUUGACUAGAGUACUGAUUAAAAGUCCAGAAUUAUUGGUUAAUUCUUUCUUAGUGGAAGCCAAGGAUAGUAAGAAAUCUUAUGUUUCCAAAUAAGAGACACCCAUCAGAACUUGGGGAAGCACUUUCUCCCCACCACCACCCUGCCUCUUAGAGAGAGAGAGAGAGAGAGCGCUAAGAAAAGUAGCUGUGUGUAUGUGUGUGAGAGAGAAAUGUCUGAAGCAUUUUUGCCAGAAAAAGGCAAACAGCAAGCUGUGGACUGGUUGAAAGCACCCUUGAAGGUGCAAGUGCUCUCUCUGGAUAACUGAUAGAGCAGGUGUCACCAAAGUUGCACCUGUAGGCACAACAGUGCAUUUGAGAUUUCCCCCAGCUGCCCACAAAGCCGCAGCCCACAAAACUGGAAGGAAGAGACCAGAGGGAGUGGCACCCAUGGUACUUACUUAAAAAUCCAAAUGCGCCCACAGGUCUAAAGAGGUUGCUGAGCCCAAGACAUAGAAAAUUUGCUGCCUUGUAGAGGUGCUUCUUUGUUCUAAAAAGAAGUCUGAUGGAUCAGACCAAAGUUAGUCCAGCAGCAUCUUUCCAACAAUGGCCAGCCAGGUGCCUCCAGGAAAUACACCAGCAGGCCUUGAAAGCAACAGCCCCCUGUUGCUCCCCAAGGGCAAGGCAUACUACCUCUGAAUCUGGAGGUUCUUUAUAGAUUCCCAUGACAUAUAUACAGGCAUUGAUAGAUAAAACUUGGGGCCAUCACCCCAGUCUUAUGGCAGCAAGUUCCACAAAUUAUUAUUUAUACAAGUGUACUUAUAUACUAACGUAAAAUAUAUACCGUAUUUUUCGCCCCAUAGGGCGCACCGGCCCAUAAGGCAUACCUAGAUUUUGGGGGGGAAAUAAAGAAAAAAAAAUUAUUCCCCCCCCCCAAGGCACGAGGCUGGGGCAGGGGAAGCCCGUGCUUCCCCAGCCCCCAGAACAGGCUGCUCUCCGAAAGCCGUGGGAGCCCUCCCGCUCAGCGCGCCGGGCCUUCGCGAUAAGAGGCAGCUCUGCGCAAGCCGGGGAAGGGCUCCCGCAGCUUGCGCAGAGCUACCCGAAGCCCCGGCGCGACUGCUCAGCGCGCCGGGGCUUCGGGAUAAGAGGCAGCGCUGUGCAAGCCGGGGGAGGGCUCCCGCGGCUUGCGCAGAGCUACCCGAAGCCCCGGCGCGACUGCUCAGCACGCCGGGGCUUUGGGAUAAGAGGCAGUGC